GACGAACGCUGGCGGCGUGCUUAACACAUGCAAGUCGAGCGGUAAGGCCCUUUCGGGGGUACACGAGCGGCGAACGGGUGAGUAACACGUGGGUGACCUGCCCUCAGCUCUGGGAUAAGCCUGGGAAACCGGGUCUAAUACUGGAUAUGACUCCAUGACGCAUGUUGUGGGGUGGAAAGCCUUGUGCGGCUGAGGAUGGGCCCGCGGCCUAUCAGCUUGUUGGUGGGGGAUGGCCUACCAAGGCGACGACGGGUAGCCGGCCUGAGAGGGCGACCGGCCACACUGGGACUGAGACACGGCCCAGACUCCUACGGGAGGCAGCAGUGGGGAAUCUUGCGCAAUGGGCGAAAGCCUGACGCAGCGACGCCGCGUGAGGGAUGACGGCCUCGGUGUAAC
rnacentral:rRNA from 1 species